UGCUAGAGGGGAAACAAAAGUGAUAUGGUAUUGCUGGUAUUGAAUUCUUGAAAUUUGUGUUUGUAGAUUUAGUCAACCCAACUAGUCCACUUCACCGUCACAUGCUACCAACGUGCACUGCUUAUCUUCACGGGACCCAUUAGACGAAACUGCUAGUGGAUCUAUUGAUCACUGCAUUUGUGGAUUAGACUUGCAAGUUUUGGUCUGGUAGGUUAAAACUAGUAGAACAGAUGGCCCAUUGAGACCACACAUUGGUGCACUUCUGCAUUGCUUUUAUACCUGACAGUGUGAUCAAGUACAAGCUUGGAUAGAAAACGAAACUAUGCGACACGUAUUCAGCUUUCAGCCCUAGAUAGGCAUGUUGUGUCUACGUAGUCAGGAAUGUCUUCCAAUCAACAAUGUUACAUCAAGUAAAGCUAUUUCACAGUUCCAAUAACAUCCAUAAGAAUAAUAUAUACUAAGGCCAACAUUAAAAAAAUGCCUUAUUUUAAAGAGCAAUCGAUAAAAAGGUUACAACUCUGUGAUGAAGUCAUAGUUCUUAUUGGAAACUAGAUCAAGUAAAUAUUUCUAUCGCUGUUAAACCCCGUUUUCAUUUUAUGGGCGACGCAAUUUUGCCAGUGUGUGAAAUACUUCAACCCAAUGCAGAAAGGAACAUUGAUACACAUUCUAGUUGGACUGCCCCUGAACAAACUGUGUUGUUAAAACGUGUUCAGUUUCUGCCCGAUGACGCCUUAGUUCAAGUUCAUGAAAUCUCUCCAAGGCCAACAGAUUCUUCUAACUCAGACGAAUCAAGCGAGAGUACAGAAUCAAAUGAAUCUGAAAGCGAAAGUGAAUCUGAGUAUUCGACAUCUUCCACCGAAAUGGAUUCUGAGGAUGAAGUACACAUUCCAAUCAAAAAUCGAAGUAAAUCUGAAAAAAUGCUGGCAAAAAAUAACAAACCGGUUCAAAAUUCAAAUAGCAAAUUGCACAAAGGAACAUUUAAUACUAAAAACAACAUUCGACCACUUCAAAUAAGUCAGCCUACUCAAUGCAACAGAAAAAUAAAUGGAGACGCAAAACCAAAACUGUCGGUAAUGUCUAAUCACUCGUUACCCAAAGCGAAAUUGUCAUCUGCCAAAAAAAAUUCUGAUUCGCCGGAUUUAAAUAGAUCUAUUAUUACCAGUGCAACUUCCAAUAAACCAUUGAAUUUCAACAACCUUUCAAGACGUUCGUCUGCACCUGUUUAUACGAAGCGCAAUCUACUUCCGGCGAGGAAGUCUGCGCGCGCUCGUCGAGGGUCUGAAGAAUACAAGCUUCCCUCGGUUUCAUCUUCCAUCAUGCAGAUAGGCUAUGAUAAAGAUAUGUUACUGAAAUCAAAUCACUCUUUGACAAUCGAAGAUGGUUUUAUUUUUCCUUCUCUUCAAACUUAUGAAAUGAGGCUACCCGAAUUAAAUCCCUCAUCAACCUAUCACUCUGCCAAUGUGAGUCUCUUAUAAAUCAGUGAAAACUAAAGAGAAUCUCAAACAUGGUGCAGCUUCAGGUGAUCACGCUAGAAUUCGUCUGCAAUCAAACUCAGAAAAUGAUCAUCGUCACACUGCCUGGCAAAUGGCUAACGGGAGAGCAGAAGAUGCUCUUGAAACAAAGCCAGACAUCGCACAACUUUGGGACUCUGCUUCCACAUGAGCGAAAUCCUAGUCAAAAAGAAACUUUUUAUGAAUUUGUAAGCAUUGAGCUAGCUCAACAGUUUCUUACAUACAGUUGAGCAUUGCAUGGCUACUCCCCUUUUGAAUUAUUUCACCAUAUUUUAUAUCUUGCUGAGUUAAGUGAUUGACUACUUUUGGCCUUGUGAAAGUAGCCCAAUUAUAAGGUUAAAUAAAAGCGGAUGGGUGGAUGUAACACGCUAAGCAUUUCAACGCGAAUGUAUACUAAAGAAGUUCACUAAUAAUACAUUCCUUUUAUAACACUAUGUAGAAGACUUCUAUUUCAUUUGCUAAAAUAAUGUAUAUAAAGUGACAUGGGAAGUUGCAACAAUCAAACAUACACUUUCAUUAUAUUUCAAAAAAAUAUUAUAAAAUAUUAAUAAAUAGUACGGAGGAGAAUUGAUUACCGAACGUGAACCAAAAAGAUUUUUUUUUUUUAAUAAAAAAAAAAGAAUGCAAAUUGUAUGUAGACAUCUAAUGCUACACAUAGAAAACCAGAUUUAAUAGGGGCAGUAGUUCCUGCUCUCACCACUGCUGAUAAUCCUUCCAGCAAGUCCCUUCACUCAAGGAAGUCCUUGACCAGAGGCAUGGCAUCAGACAUUACCUUAUCAUGCCUUAUCGUAUAAACUACAGAGGUUACUUAUGCCCUACACGUGUCAAUCUGACAGCGGACUCAUGGGGAAAUCCAUAGCGAUUAGCGAGCCACUUCUGAAUUUGUUUAAACACAAACUCUUUAUUGUAUUUUUAUUUGUAAUAUUACUUACCUGCCUAUUUAGCAAUGUAUUUUUAAAUAUAAAUAAAUAAAUAAAUAUAUAUGUGAGAAAUGAGAAUAAAAAAAGUAACGAGGCUAUUAUAAACUAAAUUAUAGAAUCACAUCUCACCCAGAUGUCUAGGGGCAUGUUCAUCAUACACUCAGGACCAUCUGAUAACUUCAUUAGAUGAGUACAUUAACAAAUUCAGUUGAUCCCCAGCUUGAAACUAUUUUGCUGUCCAUCCUGUGUGUUUAUACCAAUGUAUUAUCAUCUAACAAUAGUACUCUAUGUUUACCAGUGUGAAACAUUUGUACACACUGCAUCUAUCCUGUGUAUGUAUACAGCAACAUAAAAAAUAAGUAAAUCACACACUCAAACUACAAAGAAUUCUGGUGUAUUCAGUACAAAUCAUGAUAAUGAGUACACAGUUGCUGUUAAUGAAAACAUGUACAAGUUAUAGUUCUUGAUGUUUUUUGCCAGGUAGGUUUGAAUCAUACACAUUGAAAGUAUAUGGCUUUAGUCAAAUAAAAUAGAUGGAAAUUAAA
rnacentral:sRNA from 1 species